rnacentral:lncRNA from 1 species
GGAUACGGGCCAACCGCUGCUACAUCGAAACGGAACAGUGCUCCAUGACCAGCAAAAGCUUUAUCGUGUAGCAUUACCAUGAGAGCUCCGCUCACGGCACAUGGAUAUGCUACACGUCGAGUGUGCCACCGAUGAGUGAAGAACUUCUCAGACCACAAGAAGCCUCCUCUCAAAACGCCAAUCGCCAUCUCCGAAAACCGAAGGGAGGUAAGCUUUAUCUGACUAGAGAUGUACUAGUGGCAUAGUACAAUCUCACGAACAUCCAGAGCACACACAAUUGAGAGCUUAAGUCGACAUAGCUCCACAAAGGAUCGUAACGAGUAACCGAGAAGAGGAAGAAAAUUGAGAGGGAGAGACUGUGCCGCCACGGAGGAGCCAUAGACGACCACCACCGACACCGCAACAUCGCUGCAACCACGAACACACAUCACAAGCCCCGACACACGCCAGUGAUUCAGACUAAACCCGCAUCUGAGCAAAUCUGAAACUCCAGAAUUCCCAAGGCAAGCAAAAACAGAACACGCGUCUUUCGAGACACCAAGGAAGCAACAAUGAAACCGAUUCUAACCUACCACUCACCUAAAUCCGAACAGCAGCACAAGACUGAAACCGGAAGGGGAGAUGAACAAGCUUACGCUUCCACGUGCAGCUGAUCCUACAUGAAGCAAAAGGGCCUCCUGCCAUACCCUAAGAACCGACUUCACCGAGAGAAACCACACCCACCUCGUGCUGAGACUCCAACAGCUGGCUGAAACCUCACCGGACUCAGAGCUUCUCACGUGCAAAGAUAAAUCCAGCAAAGCCUCCAGAGCAGAGAACCAAGCAAGACAAGGAGAGUG